rnacentral:misc_RNA from 1 species
AAGUCGUAACAAGGUUUCCGUAGGUGAACCUGCGGAAGGAUCAUUACUGAAGAUAAUGGGAUCUAGAGACUGCGUCCACUUGGCGUGUGCUCGAUCCUUAUUCUUUCAUCCACACACACCUCUGUGCACUAUGGGGACGUCAGUCCCCCUUUUCAUACCAAACACCGAGUUAAUAUGCAUGUUUUUAUACUACUCUAAGGAGUAAAUGUACAACUUUCAACAACGGAUCUCUUGGCUUUC